UUGUGUCGUUCUAUCGGCAUCUUACUUUGCCCGCGGUGUUCAUAAUCCCAUUACAACUGACACGUGUGCACAAAACUGUGAUUAAGAAAUAAAUAUCAGAAGCAAAUAAUUACCAGAUGCCCAUUAGAGUUCAAUCAUUUACGAAAGAAACAUUAGAAAAAAAAAAAAAAAACAUGUUGCUGAUAACUGUUUUUAUAAAAUUACUUCUUGUAGUCUUUAUUUCCGAAGGGGAAAUCAUUCGAGAAAAUUGUUUAGAUGAUGGGGAAGAGGUAUGUAGACGAAUUGUUAAUAAAUUUUUUUUUUUUAAAUUUCAUUUUUUGCUAAAAAAGUAUUAUUUUUCUCGACUCCAAAAAGUGUCACUUUAGUAAUUCCUGCUGCUCCGGCCGGUGUCUGCAUAGACUAGGAAAUAAUUAUUGGGGAUCAUAUUGCAUGCGAGAAGGAGGCGAAUCGAUAAUUACUCCAUCAAUAACGACUACGGCAAAAAGUGUCGCCAGUAAAUCGUGUCGUCGAUUGGGGGAAAAGUGCUCGAGCAGAAAAGAAUGCUGUUCAAAUAGAUGCGACCAGAAAUGUCUGCACGUAGUAAAAAGUUUGGAUAAAUAUUUAUCUCUUAUGCGUACUGGAGGUAUGAGCUAUUGUCUGGCGAUCGGAACUCUUUGUAAUAAAAACAGCGAUUGCUGCUCCGGAAAGUGUUUUGUUCCGAGUAAAAAAUUUUAUUCCACUUGUGCUGACA